rnacentral:lncRNA from 1 species
AAUACUAAUAGUAGUAAUUACCUCUUAAUUGAAAAUUUCUAAUUUUUUAUUAAUUCUAUAAUUAUAAAAAAGCGAUGACAUUUAGAUGGUUAUUUUUGUGAUCACAAGACAUAGGAGUAACGACGGUGUAUAAGGCAGGGUAUCAAGUCAUCCAGGGCAUCGAGUCAGUCAGGGUGUCGAGUUGGUCAAGCUAUCAGCUAAUCAAAGGUGGGUACAGCAAAAGUAAAGUCUCCCUCAUUUUUUGUGUUGUUGCCAAUGCUCUUUUGCGUCUUCCCACUCUCGUCUCGUCGUCACCUGCUCUUGCUUCUCCUCUUCGCUUGCUGGUCCAAGUGGAGAGGUACUUGUACUUCUCC